rnacentral:rRNA from 1 species
UACGAAGGGGCUAGCGUUGCUCGGAAUCACUGGGCGUAAAGCGCACGUAGGCGGAUUGUUAAGUCAGGGGUGAAAUCCUGGAGCUCAACUCCAGAACUGCCUUUGAUACUGGCGAUCUCGAGUCCGGGAGAGGUGAGUGGAACUGCGAGUGUAGAGGUGAAAUUCGUAGAUAUCGCAAGAACACCAGUGGCGAAGGCGGCUCACUGGCCCGGUACUGACGCUGAGGUGCG